rnacentral:rRNA from 1 species
UACGUAGGGUCCGAGCGUUGUCCGGAAUUAUUGGGCGUAAAGAGCUCGUAGGCGGUCUGUCGCGUCGGUUGUGAAAACCUGGGGCUCAACUCCAGGCCUGCAAUCGAUACGGGCAGACUAGAGUUCGGUAGGGGAGACUGGAAUUCCUGGUGUAGCGGUGAAAUGCGCAGAUAUCAGGAGGAACACCGGUGGCGAAGGCGGGUCUCUGGGCCGAUACUGACGCUGAGGAGCGCAAGCGUGGGGAGCGAACAGG